rnacentral:misc_RNA from 1 species
CAAAAAAAAAAAAAAAAAAGAAAUAGUAAAAGAGUUAGUCAGGGUUGGGGGAGAGAGGAUAUGGCAUACCAAAAAAAAAGGCAUUUGCAAUGAUGUGUUUUCACAUCUCGAUACAAUGCUCUCAGAAAAUAUCUCAAGGCUCAAUCAUUAUAUCAAGUAUCAAGAGUUGCCGUUACGAUUAGCCUUCUUGUCCUAUUUGAAUAUUACUUUUAAUAUGUGAUUCAUUUAAUUCAGCAAUCCAAAUUGAAGAUCUUUACAUGUGUUUCAUGCAGACUCCUCAGUAUGCAUUCUCACACUUAUAUCUAACACUAAAAACUUGGAAAAAGAGGACUUGACAGCUGGUUUUAGUUUCAGCUAGCACAUCUCAUGCACAAAACCAACCCCAAAAGAUAAGAAAAUUUUCUAACAAGGAGGGCCCUCAAGGCCAUGAGUAUACUACAAAUAUACAAAAUUCAGAAAAAGGAUACAGAUAUAGUAAGUUGAGACUGCUACCUGGUCUGCAAUAGCAUACAAGAUUGCAAUAAUACAUGGAAGACAGCAGCAAACAGCAAUG